rnacentral:lncRNA from 1 species
AUGUUUCAUGUUAUCACCGAAGGGGAGACUCCACACAGUUUGAAUUGGGUCAGAGCUGGAGCUCGAGAACUUACAAUGGUAAUAAUGGCCUCAGGCCCUAGGCUCCACCAGCCAGCCAUUAACUUCAUGGAAAUGCCUUCUGCAUCAGCCCCUAUUGUCAACAGUCAGCACCAUUCCACAGAAACCAUAGGGUCUCACCACACUAACACUACUGGAUGUCUCAGCUGUGCCCCAGCCCUUUGCAGUCCUGCUACAGGCUUAUUUCCUGAUCACAACGAGGGAACUGGGACCCCAUUUAGAGAGGCUGCAUGGCUCUCCGGUGCUCGUACCUUCCCCUUGGAGAAUGGAGAAGAAAAUAUCUCUCAUCAGACUGAUUGCCAUUGUGUCCUGCACUCACCAGCCCAAGGGCAGCAGCACAUGCCUCUGCCUGCCCCCUGCCUUCCAGGUUCAUCCCAGCUGAGUCUUGUCCCAUCCGUCUUUCCCUGAGUGAAGCAGAAAUAUUAGCAUGUCUCAGCUUUAUUUGGUUUCCUGUUCCUGCACCAGAAGCAUUGUCAAUGCCAUUGAGAAAACACAGGAAGCAGUGGAAAUAGUUCUUUGCUAACUGUUGCUAAAGAACAGCCAACAAAGGGAGCUUUUGCAUUUUAGGAAAUUCUUUUUUAUUCUUUCUUCAGAGUUCCUUCUGAAACUUUCCUUCAAGUGCUAAGUCUGGAUUAAUGAAAUUAAUGAACUGUUUAGCAGGUGUAAAACUUUGCUUGCGUAUUCAUUACAGGAACAGAAGACCUCGAUCCUACAGAUAAUUGUCCCUUACUCUGUAUAUGGUGUGUGGCUUAACCCCUUUGUGCCUCAGUUUCUCCUUUAGCAAACAGGGAAAGUGAUGCUUCAUCCCUCUUAACGGUCAUGAAAUUCAUUUCACUAGUAAUGUGUGUGUAGUAUGUGGAGGCGGCAGGAUGAAUGGUAAUGGGCACAGGUAUUAUUAUAUAUCACUCUCAGUGAUAGCGAUUUCUAGAGUAGGUUAAAUCCUGGCCCAAAAAGUACUUGACUGUGUCCCUUUAAGGUCACAAGCUAUUAUGAUGUUGAAGACUAAAAUCCUUUGUAUAUGAUCAUGAAUAAAUGAAUUGAGUAUCACUGCCCGGCCA